rnacentral:rRNA from 1 species
UACAGAGGGUGCGAGCGUUAAUCGGAAUUACUGGGCGUAAAGCGUGCGUAGACGGUUAUUUAAGUCGGAUGUGAAAUCCCCGGGCUUAACCUGGGAACUGCAUUUGUGACUGCAUGGCUGGAGUGCGGCAGAGGGGGAUGGAAUUCCGCGUGUAGCAGUGAAAUGCGUAGAUAUGCGGAGGAACACCGAUGGCGAAGGCAAUCCCCUGGGCCUGCACUGACGCUCAUGCACGAAAGCGUGGGGAGCAAACAGG